rnacentral:rRNA from 1 species
GAGUGAACGCUGGCGGUAGGCCUAACCCAUGCAAGUCGAACGGCAGCACAGUAAGAGCUUGCUCUUACGGGUGGCGAGUGGCGGACGGGUGAGGAAUACAUCGGAAUCUACUUUUUCGUGGGGGAUAACGUAGGGAAACUUACGCUAAUACCGCAUACGACCUACGGGUGAACGCAGGGGAUCUUCGGACCUUGCGCGAUUGAAUGAGCCGAUGUCGGAUUAGCUAGUUGGCGGGGUAAAGGCCCACCAAGGCGACGAUCCGUAGCUGGUCUGAGAGGAUGAUCAGCCACACUGGAACUGAGACACGGUCCAGACUCCUACGGGAGGCAGCAGUGGGGAAUAUUGGACAAUGGGCGCAAGCCUGAUCCAGCCAUACCGCGUGGGUGAAGAAGGCCUUCGGGUUGUAAAGCCCUUUUGUUGGGAAAGAAAAGCAGCAGGUUAAUACCCCGCUGUUCUGACGGUACCCAAAGAAUAAGCACCGGCUAACUUCGUG